GAAGACGAUGAUGAAGAAGCUCGAGAAAAGAGAAUGAAUAUAUCUUCAAUAAAUCAGAUCACCGGAAUACCAAAUUAAGCAGACGACAGCCACAGGAAGAAGAAGCAUUCAGAAGAAGAAACAUGAAGCAGCACAAGGGACAGAAUCUGCUGACUCUGGAAUCAUCCAACAAAUGUGACGAUGGUGGUCCUUUAUUGCAUUCCAGUGGCUUCAGAUUAUUCAUCUUUUCUCCAUGCCUUAUUCUGGACUUGUCAUCCCAUUCGUCUGAUGGUCUUGAUGAAUAAAGAAGAAACCCUAAAAUCACCUCACAGAUUCGAUUCUACUGUUUGCAAAACAGAGGAAGCGAACUGUUGCUGAUGGCCAAGGCGACGAUUAACUCCGACGUGCGAGCUCUAUAUAAUUCCCUGGCAGAAAUGGGACAAAGAACGACAAGGACCUCAUUGUCGAUGUGGCCAACAAGACCUAAGCAUAUAGCUUAUUAUAAUAUUAUGGAUUCAUGAAUUGAUUUCAAUGUAAUUUCUGUGUAGCUGUGUGGUAGAGAACCUUGGUCCAAGAAUUAUGACUUUGGGGUGUCUGCUGCCGUCUCCAUUGUCUUCUAAUGUACAAAAUCUCAGCCUUUUGUUGGGCUAAUGAUCAAAGCAAAUUCAUCUCUAGUUCUGUCAAAUGAUGGAUUGGAAUUUUGAACAUUAGAGGGAAAGGCGUGCAUUAGUUUAUAUAUAAUAUCUCAUUAAACAUGAAUUAGGAUUAAGUAUAUAUUUAAGUUGAUGAUGCUUAGCUUCUUGCUUGCAGGCAAAUAAGAUACCAUCAAAUCAUGAAGAAGAUAAUGUUGUAACCUCCACAAGUGCCAAUGGCCCUUUCAGUGUUUAAGGAGGCAAGAGAAGCUCUUACAGAUUUGGCUGUUCACUCUCCUUUCUUAUUUUGAGAUCUCACAAAGAGAGAAAUGUUCCUCAUACACCUCUAAAAAAGAUUUACGACACGAUGGCGUUUAUAGAAGUGAAAAGUAUUGGCACAAAGACAAAAAUAUCCGACAUGUUCCCAAGCAGUAAAUAGAAUUUUUUACUCAUAAUUUAGAAUGUAUCAAUAAACAUUUCCUCCGAUAUUUAUCCUUAGUAAAGUUUAAGGUAUGAAUAAACUAUAUCUAGAGUAUAAUUAGGCUUAUUCAUUUUUUUCAAUUAUGUUUUGUGUUCAAUCAAUUAGGUAUGAAUAUGUCUUAUUGGAGGAAAAAAAGUUUGAGAUUAUUAAUUCAGCGGAAAGAUAUAUAGGCAAGCAACUUGAUGGGAAGCAUUUGUGU